rnacentral:tRNA from 1 species
GCGGGUGUAGCUCAGUUGGUUAGAGCGCCAGAUUGUGGCUCUGGAGGUCGUGGGUUCGAAGCCCAUCACUCGCCCCA